CCUACGGGUGGCAGCAGUGGGGAAUAUUGCACAAUGGGGGAAACCCUGAUGCAGCGACGCCGCGUGAGUGAAGAAGUAAUUCGGUAUGUAAAGCUCUAUCAGCAGGGAAGAAAAUGACGGUACCUGAGUAAGAAGCACCGGCUAACUACGUGCCAGCAGCCGCGGUAAUACGUAGGGGGCAAGCGUUAUCCGGAUUUACUGGGUGUAAAGGGAGCGUAGACGGGAGUGCAAGUCUGGAGUGAAAGGCGGGGGCUCAACCCCCGGACUGCUCUUGAAACUGUACGUCUGGAGUGCAGGAGAGGUAAGUGGAAUUCCUGGUGUAGCGGUGAAAUGCGUAGAUAUUAGGAGGAACACCAGUGGCGAAGGCGGCUUACUGGACUGUAACUGACGUUGAGGCGCGAAAGCGUGGGGAGCAAACAGGAUUAGAUACCCUUGUAGUC
rnacentral:rRNA from 1 species